ensembl:lncRNA
CUCUUGAGGAUAGUAACUUUAUUCCAUUUUUAUUCCAUUUUGGUGUACAGACAUGCCCAAAAAACGGAAAGGCAAGGGAUCCUCCAGAGAUGAUCUCUGGUCAAUAGCUGGAGGAGAGCAAUUGAUUGUGGAGCAUUUCCUUUCAUUGAAUAUUUUAGAUCAAGACCAGUCAUACUGUUCAGAUGUGUGGUCAAAUUUGUCCCAAAAGAUUUUUGGCAAUGUAAAAGAGAAAAACAAGAAAUGGCUCCACUGUCUAUGGACAUACGAUCGGCGAGAUAUUAGGGGAAAGGUCAAGGCAACAUCAUGCAUUUCAAAAGGUCCAGAGUUACCCACAGAUCAAGAUUCUGUCGAAAGUCAGAGGGAAAUGGUGGAAGAGCUAGACACAGAAGACUCUGACAGUGCAGUGUCCCCAAAAAGUGGCAGAUGUGAUGCUUCCAUUAGCGAUCAAGAAUCGGCACUAAAAGAAGGAUUGAGUUGUGUUAAAAAGAGGCACAGCAAGAAAAAAGCUGUUGUGUUGCAGUACACAGAUGACGAUUCUGAAGAAAGUCAGUGGGAAAUUGCAGAAGGGCAAGAGUCAGAAGACUCUGACAGUGCAGUGUCCACAAAAAGUGGCAGAUCUGAUGCUUCCAUUAGCGAUCAAGAAUCUGCACUAAAAGAAGGAUUGAGUUGUGUUAAAAAGAGGCACAGCAAGAAAAAAGCUGUUGUGCUGCAGUACACAGAUGACGAUUCUUCAGAAAGUCAGAGGGAAAUCGCAGAAGGGCAAGAGUCAGAAGACUCUGACAGUCCAGUGUCCCCUAAAAGUGGAAGAUCUGAUGUUUCUUUUAGUGAUCCCGAGCCAGAGAAGGUGAGGCAGAGAAAGGCAAAUGCAAAAGGACAUUUAUCUGAAUUUUUUCUUGUAAAGAGUGAUGGAGUGUUUAGAAAGGUGCCAUCCACGGCCAAGAAAUUCACAAUUUCACUUACACAAAAUCAGUGGAGCAACAUCUCACCUCACAGUGGUGUCAACAAACUUAAAAAAACAUGGACAAAUGUAAUUCACAGUGAAUUUAAAAGAAAAAACCCGAGCUGUGUCCUGCAUUUUACAUACCAGCAUGUCCGUGUUCAUGGCAGCAGGAAAAGAAAUGCACCAUAUUUAACUUUGCUUGCUGUUUGCAAAUUCUCCACCUGUCAGGCAAGGUACAUUAUUAGGAUGAAAAACAAGCCUAGUCGGCGUCAACCCACCAUUAGAAUGGCUGUUAUUCGUCAGGGAGAAAUUAAACAUUUGAAAAAUGAGACACGGUUCAGGCCAGCAACCAAUAUUCGCAGGGGCAAAAUCGCGAAAUCUGUGGUCACAGGAGUGAGUGCAGAGUACUACAGGAGACUGCGCACCACUCCAGUUUCAGAACUUGUGUCAGGCAACCUGACAAAAAGUCUCAAUAAGAACAUCUUGAGAGUAAUCGCUGCAGAAGUGCAGAAAAGCAGAAAAUUACACGACAAUGUUCUCCUAGAAAUGCAGCUUAUGCAAGGCAUAAUGAGGGAAUGUGACAGCAGCUAUUAUACCAUGCCAGGAUAUGUACAUCAUCUUCAGGUGAACCCCUUGGGGAUACACCUGUACACAGAGACAGGCCUAAGCAUCUUGGUGCAUCACCUGAGGAUGAAGAAGCCUGUCUCUUUGUACCUGGAUGCCACAGGGGGGGUGGUGUCAAAGCCUCCUGAAGACAAGCGGAGAGUCCUUUAUUAUGCAAUGGCCUUGCCAGGACAUGGUCAAGAUGCCCCGCCCCUCCCAGUCACCGAGAUGAUCUCCAAUGAGCACAGUGUACCUCCCCUUGCUUUUUGGCUGAUGCAGUUUCUUUUGAAAUUGUCCAAAUAUACUUCUCUCAGGGUACAUAAGGUAGAGACAGAUUAUAGUUGGGCAUUAAUUCAGGCUGUACUAUUAGCAUUCAACAAGGAAAGCAUAGAUGCAUACCUGAAGAGAACAUUUCACAUUAUCCAGAGGCAACAGAAAUGGGUCGAUAUAAAACCCUUCACAGUGCUUCAUCUGUGCUCUGCCCACAUAAUUAAAGCAGUGAAUUGCAGCAUUGGUAGGAAAACCAAUGACAAGUCCCUCAGAGAGUUCUCAACCUUCAUUUUUGCAAGACUGCAGAACACAAUUGAUUUUAAGACUGCAUGUCGCAUUUUUAGACACUUCUGCAUUGCUUUGCUGACAGAACAUCUGAAUGACGACGUCCAAAGCAGUUUGGAUUUUCUGAAGGCACUUAUCUACAAUAGCAAGAGUCAAGAGCAGGAGGAUCAUAUGGAGGCAGAGUUGUACAGUUGGGAGGAUGCAGAAAUCGGGAGGUCUGUCAAAACACUUGUUGGAAGCUCUCCAUACACAAGAGAAUUCAAAGGAAUCUAUGAGGAAGUAAGAUCAGCGGCAGAAGGACAGCAGGAAAAUGUUCACGGUUCAAAUCCAUACCAUUGCCCCAGAAUAAUACAAGUUCUUCUGGACAAUUACAUGGCCAUUUACCCUCUUUGGAGUGGUGCCAUGUUGGGAGACCUACAGAGGUAUGCCACAGACAAAACACACAGAGAAAACGACCUGGAACAAGACCAAACUAGAGACACAAAUUGCCAUAUUGAGAAUUGGUUUAAGAUUGUUAAACACAACAUUCUCCACAAAAAACGAUACCUCAGGUCAUCAGAAUUCAUCCGAAAAAUGUAUUGUUCACUCAAAGGAAGAUAUACUGAACAUAUCCUCAGAAAUCAACUUCCAGAGGACCUCCUUAUCAGACCACUAUGUCCCAAAAAUUAUGUGGAUUUAGCUGAAGAGAGAUGGGCAAAGCGCGGAUCCCCAAGACAAGCUGACAAAUCCAAAUACUAUGGUGCACCUAAAAGUGAACAAAAAACAAAAAGAAAAGAGAUAGAGAGCAGGGCAAAAGCAAAAAAAGGCAAAUUGACAUCAGAAACAAAGACAAGAGCAAAGCAGAAACAGGAUGGCAGAGAAAAAGGAGAAAUGACAGAGAUAGGGACAACAGCAAAGCAGAAACAGGACUGCAGUGAAAAAGGAGAAAUGACCGAGAUCGGGACAAGAGAAAAGCAGAAGCAGGACAGCAGGCAAAAAGGAGAAAUGACUUCAGAGAUAGUGACGAGAGAAAAGCAGAAACAGGACAGCAGGGAAAAAGGAGAAAUGACUUCAGAGAUAGUGACGAGAGAAAAGCAGAAACAGGACAGCAGGGAAAAAGGAGAAAUGACUUCAGAGAUAGGGACAAGAGCAAAGCAGAAACAAGACAGCAGGCAAAAAGGAGAAAUGACUUCAGAGAUAGUGACAAGAGCAAAGCAGAAACAGGACAGCAGGGAAAAGGGAGAAAUGAGAGAGAAAGGGACAAGAGCAAAGCAGAAACAGGACAGUAGGGAAAAGGGAGAAAUGAGAGAGAAAGGGACAAGAGCAAAGCAGAAACAGGACAGCAGGGAAAAGGGAGAAAUGACAGAGAAAGGGACAAGAGCAGAACAGGAACAGGACAGCAGAGAACAAGGAGAAAUGACUUCACAAACAGAUACAAUAGGCACAGAGAAACAGAAGUGGAGAGAAGAGGUAAAGAUGCUGUGGGAACAACCUCAAACAGAAGUAGUAGUGGCAGUUAUUAAAUCACCUCCUCAUGCCUUUACUCUGAGGCAUGCAGACUUGGUAACACUACGACCACAUGAACUUCUUAAUGGUGAGGCAAUCGAAUGCUACAUUCGGGCUGCUCUUAAUAAAUUUGAAAAGUCUGGACGUCUGCUCCAGAUGGAUCACUAUGUUACUGGUGUGAUCCUUGAAGGCACAAGACAACAAAUGUCUCGACACCAAAUGAAAAAAGUGGACUUUGACUGUUUUGAUGGUGCAGUGUCUUUUGUAAAUAUCAAUGACAGUCACUGGAGGUUUGUGUAUCUUCAUGCUCCGUCAGCCCAAGUGUUUGUCAUUGACCCUGCUUCUUCAGAGAUUGACCAUGACAUCUCAAAUAAGGCUGCAAUGACUUACCGAUUGUAUUUCAAAAUGCGCCAAAACAUACAAGGCAGGCAGCACUGGAGCAGCAUUAAGUGGACAGCAGGAACCAUAAAGCACAAUGAACAAAAGGACAGCACAAGUUGUGGAGUGUUUGUGAUGCAGAUGGCAAGAAAGGUUGCUGAAAGUUUUCCACAAAUUCCUGCAUCAAUGACCAUAAAUCCAACAAGCAGCAGCAUAAGAAAGCUGCGGGCUGAAAUGGCAGAGACAAUGCUCUCUUCCUCAGUACCAAGAGAUGAGUAUUGCUCAAUCUGUGGACUCAAAGAUGUCCCAAAAACGGCAACAACUGAAGCAGUUGUUAUUGACUGGACCCAAUGUGAGACAUGCAAGCGGUGGUUUCACGAUAUCUGCAUUACCCUAAAUAAAAGUAACUCCCCAGAAACUGACUUGCCAUGGCACUGUCUUUUAUGUUAAGACAGAAUGAAAAAGGCACCAGGACACAAGGAAAGUAAGAAGACGGAAAGAAAACUAAAUAUAGAGUUACGAUAGAGAUCGUCAAUGUUACAUUUUGAUGUGAUUUUGAAAAUAAUAAUAAAUUAAGAGAAAGAAAUGUCUGAUUUCUUAGCCAUUUAUCGGAUCUCAGGACAAUCAGCCCAAAUAGAAAAGGAUACUUUUAAAGCCAUUUGAAGAGGAUGGAUAAUAGGUUAUUCAACUGCAAAAAAUAAGAAAAUGCUAUAAAAUAAUCUUAUGACUGAAUUAAAGAUUUUAGUAACUCAACCAAUGUUUCCAAAAACGUGCUACACUUAAGAUUUCACGAUUACUGACAAGAUCAGCCUUGCAAGCAGUUAUACAUGAGAAGUGAAAAUUUACUGUUUCAACUUGGCAUGUUCCAUACUACCCACAUACUAAAAAGCUGAAAAGAUAUAUUUGAAAAAUAAGCCUUGUGGCACAGGGGGGUUAUUAUUAUCUGUCUUAUACAGUUGGUUUGAUAUCUUGAGGUCAAUAGGUCAAGGAGCAUAAUACGUUUAUUUAUUUAUUUUAUUUGUGAAAAAUUCCCGAAAUGAUAUAUUUGAAAAAUAAGCCUUGUGGCACAGGGGGGUUAUUAUUAUCUGUGUUAUACAGUUGGUUUGAUAUCUUGAGGUCAAAAGGUCAAGGAGCAUAAUACGUUUAUUUAUUUAUUUUAUUUGUGAAAAAUUGCCGAAAUGAUAUAUUUGAAAAACAAGCCUUGUGGCACAUGGGGGUUAUUAUUAUCUGUGUUAUACAGUUGGUUUGAUAUCUUGAGGUCAAAAGGUCAAGGAGCAUAAUACAUUUAUUUAUUUAUUUUAUUUGUGAAAAAUUCCCGAAAUGAUAUAUUUGAAAAAUA